UACGUAGGGUGCGAGCGUUGUCCGGAAUUAUUGGGCGUAAAGGGCUCGUAGGCGGUCUGUUGCGUCGGGAGUGAAAACUCAGGGCUUAACCCUGAGCCUGCUUCCGAUACGGGCAGACUAGAGGUAUGCAGGGGAGAACGGAAUUCCUGGUGUAGCGGUGAAAUGCGCAGAUAUCAGGAGGAACACCAGUGGCGAAGGCGGUUCUCUGGGCAUUACCUGACGCUGAGGAGCGAAAGUGUGGGGAGCGAACAGG
rnacentral:rRNA from 1 species